GACGAACGCUGGCGGCGUGCUUAACACAUGCAAGUCGAACGGAAAGGCCCUGCUUGCAGGGUACUCGAGUGGCGAACGGGUGAGUAACACGUGGGUGAUCUGCCCUGCACUUCGGGAUAAGCCUGGGAAACUGGGUCUAAUACCGGAUAGGAGCCAUUUUUAGUGUGAUGGUUGGAAAGUUUUUUUCGGUGUAGGAUGAGCUCGCGGCCUAUCAGCUUGUUGGUGGGGUAAUGGCCUACCAAGGCGGCGACGGGUAGCCGGCCUGAGAGGGUGGACGGCCACAUUGGGACUGAGAUACGGCCCAGACUCCUACGGGAGGCAGCAGUGGGGAAGAUUGCACAAUGGGCGCAAGCCUGAUGCAGCGACGCCGCGUGGGGGAUGACGGCCUUCGGGUUGUAAACUCCUUUCGCUAGGGACGAAGCUUUUUGUGACGGUACCCAGAUAAGAAGCACCGGCUAACUACGUG
rnacentral:rRNA from 1 species